UACGUAGGGGGCAAGCGUUGUCCGGAAUCAUUGGGCGUAAAGAGCGCGUAGGCGGCCCGAUAAGUCCGCUGUGAAAGUCAAGGGCUCAACCCUUGAAUGCCGGUGGAUACUGUCGGGCUAGAGUCCGGAAGAGGCGAGUGGAAUUCCUGGUGUAGCGGUGAAAUGCGCAAAUAUCAGGAGGAACGCCAAUGGCGAAGGCAGCUCGCUGGGACGGUACUGACGCUGAGGCGCGAAAGCGUGGGGAGCAAACAGG
rnacentral:rRNA from 1 species